rnacentral:sRNA from 1 species
UGCCCCUGUUCUCUUUGAGCCAAGCUUCUUCCACACAGUCAGCGACUCGCCGCCAACGUUGUCCUGGCACGGGGGCGCGAAGCCGUCCUCGUUGCAGCACCCGUUCACGUAGUCACACUCGUCCACCACCCUGACAACGACAGACCGUCCAUUCACGGCGGCGGCGACGACGACGCGGAUCCUCCCGUUGCAGCGGCGGCAGCGUGCGCCACCACCGCCGUCGUCGAGGCACAGCCACCCAGACCCGGAGUACAGCUCGACGACCAGCUCCAUGUUCCGGCGGAAGCACAUAUGCAGCGUCGGGAUCGCCGGCGCAUGUCCGAUACCGGCUGUGAGCCACAUGAACCGCGGGUAGCGCUUGCCGACGACGCAGCAGUCCGGG